rnacentral:sRNA from 1 species
UGUGAAUAAGUUUUUCUUUUCUUGUUAUUUUUUAUUUGUUUUAGUUGUGUUUGUGGUUCUCAGGAAUAGAGGAAUAACGUGACGGUAGAGUGAAAAUUCAAAACUUUUACUCUACAGAUGGCCUAGAGAUCGAGUAGACAGUCUAGUGGAGUGCAAAAAUUUUAAAACUUUCUGUUGCACCUGGAGACCUUGCACUCGAGUAUAUUGGUUGAGUAUGAGUGAUGUUUAAAACCCCAAAAAAAAAAAAUCAUCAUUUUACUCGACCAACAGAAGAUACAGCGCCUUAUAUGGAGUUCAUCAAGUUUAUAGAGGAUUUCGGGAUUACCUGAGGUUUUUACAGUCAACAGAGAGUACAAAAUAAAGACAAAUCCAAAAAAUGGAGAUGGUGGUACUCGGCUUGGUGGUAGAGUGAUCCACUGAAGGUGAU